UUAGGAAUCUUCCACAAUGGGCGAAAGCCUGAUGGAGCGACGCCGCGUGAGGGAUGAAGGCCUUAGGGUUGUAAACCUCUAAAAGAGGGACGAUAAUGACGGUACCUCUUGAAUAGCACCGGCUAACUCCGUGCCAGCAGCCGCGGUAAUACGGAGGGUGCAAGCGUUAUCCGGAAUCACUGGGCGUAAAGGGCGCGUAGGCGGUCUGUUAAGUCCGAUGUUAAAUCCCGGGGCUCAACCCCGGAUAAGCGUUGGAUUCUGGCAGGCUAGACGGUUGGAGAGGCGAGUGGAAUUACCAGUGUAGCGGUGGAAUGCGUGGAUACUGGUAGGAACACCCAUUGCGAAGGCAGCUCGCUGGACAACACGUGACGCUGAGGCG
rnacentral:rRNA from 1 species